GAUGAACGCUGGCGGCAUGCCUAAUACAUGCAAGUCGAACGAGAGGAAGGAAAGCUUGCUUUUCUGAAUCUAGUGGCGAACGGGCGAGUAACACGUAGGUAACCUGCCCAUGUGCCCGGGAUAACUUCUGGAAACGGAUGCUAAAACCGGAUAGGUAGCAGACAAGCAUUUGACUGCUAUUAAAGUGGCUAAGGCCAUGAACAUGGAUGGACCUGCGGUGCAUUAGCUAGUUGGUGAGGUAACGGCCCACCAAGGCGACGAGGCAUAGCCGGCCGGAGAGGGCGGACGGCGAAAUUAGGACUGAGACACGGCCCAAACUCCGAGGGGAGGCAGCAGGAGGGAAUUUUCGUCAAUGGGGGGAACCCUGAACGAGCAAUGCCGCGUGAGUGAGGAAGUUCUUCGGAUCGUAAGGCUCCCUAGUAAGACAAAAUCGCCCCUCAUGGGGAAUGACCAGUGGGUGUUAGUACCUCAGCAGGAACAAACGGCUAACAGCCUGGAAGAAGCCGCCGUAA
rnacentral:rRNA from 1 species